rnacentral:lncRNA from 1 species
GUGUCCUCUAUACGUGAACCCAGCUGUAGGCAGCAGGGGCAUGGGUUGCACCGAGAUUUGUGUAUGAGCUCAGUCCCUGCUGGUGUUCCUUAGGGAUUCCCAAGGCUUUAGGGCCUGCAGGGGAAGGAUGAGCUCCUGGAGCUUCAGCCUGCAGCCAGCGCAGAUCUCGUGGUGCUCCUGAGCACCGGAGUGUGGCCAGGAUGAGAGCAAGGUCACACGGCUGAAGACAUUGCUUCUCUCUGACAAAGUCCCAGAGCACCGUGGUGAAGGUGCAGCAGUUGCUGAUGGGAUGGCACAGCACAAGAGGAGGAGGAAAAUCGUGCAAAUGCCCUUUUCUCCUAGGAAAACAGUCUCGCCCCUUGCUACAUGGCUGCCCCUGCACAUAAACCACGGGCAGAGCGCUCUGGGGGCUGCAAGCGGCCACCAAGCACCGUCCCAAAGACAAAUGGGUUUUUCCGUCUCCUGGGCACUGGCAGCACUAUAAGAGUGAGGAGCCUUCUGCAGGGCUUCUGCCCAAUGGGAACUCAUCUGCUGCAGGGGACAGCAAACGCCGGCAGGACACAAAGGCUGCACGGCUGGGAUCGCGGCAGUGCCGUCAGAUGGGCUGCGUCCUGCUUUGCUGGGGGAGCGGCCCUCGGAGCCGGGCUGGGGCGGCUGCGUCCCCCCUCGGGAGCACAGCUGGGUCAAGCACGGGAUGCAUCCCCAGAUAGGGCCACGUAUGCAACGCAUCCCCGUGUAGGACCAUAAGGGAUGCGUCCCCAGGUAGGACUGCACGUGUGAUGCGCCCCGAAGUAGGACCACGUGUGGGAUGCGACACCGUGCACGCGGGGUGUCCCCCGAUAGGACCACACACACAGGCUGUGUCCCCACGUAGGACCACGCACGUGAUGUGCCCCCAGGGAAGCUUCGGGCUGGCUCAGGACCUGAAGGACACCGAGGGGCUGGCGCCGGCCCAGAGACCCACCUGCCCGGGGUGAUCGCUGCGGGUGAGGGCGCAGGAGGAGCUGACAGAGGGACCGGGAGGCCGCUUCCGAGCUCUGCGGGGUUUGGGGUGAGAUUCCUGUCCUCUGCGGGGGCUGCAUCGUGGUCCCCUCCCGGCCCUCCCCCACCGCCAGACCCGCACCGCGUGAUCCCCGCGGGGUCCCCCAG